rnacentral:misc_RNA from 1 species
GAUGAAGAACGUAGCGAAAUGCGAUACUUGGUGUGAAUUGCAGAAUCCCGUGAACCAUCGAGUCUUUGAACGCAAGUUGCGCCUCAAGCCAUUAGGUUGAGGGCACGUCUGCCUGGGCGUCACAUAUCGUUGCCUGAUGCCAGUUUCCUCGUGAUGGGUGACUGUGCAGGGCGAAUGAUGGCUUCCCGUGAGCAUUGUUGCCUCAUGGUUGGUUGAAAAUUGAGUCCUUGGUAGGGAGCGCCGUGAUAGAUGGUGGUUGAGUGACGAACGAGACCCAAUCAUGUGAGACCCCUACCGAAUUUGGCCUUCAUGACCCACAUGCGUCUUUGGAACGCUCAUGACGAGACCUCAGGUCAGGUGGGGAUACCCGCUGAACUUAAGCAUAUCAAUAAGCGGAGGA